rnacentral:rRNA from 1 species
GCUUAACACAUGCAAGUCGAGCGAGAAUCGUUUAUUGAAGGCUUCGGCUGGAAAUAGAUGAGGAAAGCGGCGAACGGGUGAGUAACGCGUGGGCAACCUGGCCUUAAGAAAAGGAUAGCCCCCGGAAACGGGGAGUAAUACUUUAUGAAAAUGAGAGAGGGCAUCCUACUUUCAUUCAAAGCGCAAGCGCUUAAGGAUGGGCCCGCGUAUCAUUAGCUAGUUGGUGAGAUAACAGCCCACCAAGGCAACGAUGAUUAGCCGGUCUGAGAGGGCGAACGGCCACAUUGGAACUGAGAGACGGUCCAAACUCCUACGGGAGGCAGCAGUGGGGAAUAUUGCGCAAUGGAGAAGAACUCUGACGCAGCAAUACCGCGUGAGCGAAGAAGGUCUUCGGAUCGUAAAGCUCUGUUAUCAGGGAAGAAGAAAAUGACGGUACCUGAUGAGCAAGUCCCGGCUAACUACGUGCCAGCAGCCGCCGCGGUAA